UACGAAGGGGGCUAGCGUUGCUCGGAAUUACUGGGCGUAAAGGGCGCGUAGGCGGACAGUUUAGUCAGAGGUGAAAGCCCAGGGCUCAACCUUGGAAAUGCCUUUGAUACUGGCUGUCUUGAGUUCGGGAGAGGUGAGUGGAAUGCCGAGUGUAGAGGUGAAAUUCGUAGAUAUUCGGAAGAACACCAGUGGCGAAGGCGGCUCACUGGUCCGGUACUGACGCUGAGGUGCGAAAGCGUGGGGAGCAAACAGG
rnacentral:rRNA from 1 species